UCCGGCUUGUCGCCGGCGGUCCCUUUAGAGUGCCCAACUGAAUGAUGGCAACUAGAGGCGAGGGUUGCGCUCGUUGCGGGACUUAACCCAACAUCUCACGACACGAGCUGACGGCAGCCAUGCAGCACCUGUCUCCGCGCCCCUUGCGGGGACCACCCAUCUCUGGGCUUAGCGCGGGAUGUCAAACCCUGGUAAGGUGGGGAUGACGUUGUCGGAUUCUAAG
rnacentral:misc_RNA from 1 species